UACGGAGGGUGCAAGCGUUAUCCGGAAUUACUGGGUUUAAAGGGUGCGUAGGCGGCGUUGUAAGUCAGACGUGAAAGUUUUCCGCUUAACGGGAAAAUUGCGUUUGAUACUGCAGUGCUAGAAUCAGGAUGAGGUUAGCGGAAUGUGACAUGUAGCGGUGAAAUGCAUAGAUAUGUCAUAGAACACCAAUUGCGAAGGCAGCUGGCUAGACCUAGAUUGACGCUGAGGCACGAAAGCGUGGGGAGCGAACAGG
rnacentral:rRNA from 1 species